rnacentral:ncRNA from 1 species
GGUGCGUCGCGAAAGACAUCCGGACGAGGCGCACCGUACCCGGCGAGCGAAAAGACGGUGUGAA